rnacentral:rRNA from 1 species
GUGGGGAAUCUUCCGCAAUGGACGAAAGUCUGACGGAGCGACGCCGCGUGAGUGAUGAAGGCCUUCGGGUCGUAAAGCUCUGUCAUCGGGGACGAACGGCCUCAGCAGGUAAUGGCUGGGGAUUGACGGUACCCGAGAAGGAAGCCACGGCUAACUACGUGCCAGCAGCCGCGGUAAUACGUAGGUGGCAAGCGUUGUCCGGAAUUAUUGGGCGUAAAGCGCGCGCAGGUGGGAUCUUAAGUCCAUUUUGAAAGUUCGGAGCUCAACUCCGUGAUGGGAUGGAAACUGGGAUUCUUGAGUACCGGAGAGGAAAGCGGAAUUCCCCGUGUAGCGGUGAAAUGCGUAGAUAUGGGGAGGAACACCAGUGGCGAAGGCGGCUUUCUGGACGGUGUCUGACACUGAGGCGCGAAAGCCAGGGGAGCGAACGGGAUUAGAUACCCUUGUAGUCC